GAGAAACAAAUUUAGUUUGUUCAUCAACUUUCGGAUAUUAUAAUGUUGGAUUAUAUAUAUAUAAUACAGACGCUGACAUGAAUAUAAAUAUACAUAACAAUAUAUAUAUAUAUAUAUAUGAUGUAUAUAAAGAUGUGAGACUAUGAUGAUGCACACAUCAUGCACUCAGCCACCCCUCUUGUUUCCCAUCCUCUUCCAUUGUCUCUUUACAAAGAAAGAAUAGUAAAAGAAAAAAAAUAUCUUCCCAUAACAUUGUCUCAUCUUUAUAACACCUUCCAUAUUGUUUUGCCUCCUACUCCUUCCCAUUCUUCUCCUCUUGUCUUCUCUCUCUUCCUUUUCUCUCUCUCUAAGUCUCUCUUUGCUUGAACAACUUCUCUCAGUAUUGUUUCUGUCAUUAUCUCUCUCUCUCUCUCUCUCUCUCUCUCUCAACUCCCCCCCCAAAAAAAAAAUACUCCCCCCCACACAGACACCCUUCCAAAGUAGAUCCUUUUCUCUACCUCCCAACCACCACCACCACCACUACCACCCUACAACACUGUCGACUAAAUCAAAUAUCAGUAAUAUUGUUUUUAUGUAAAAGGGUUUUGGACAGUCUCAGCUUCAAAGGUAUGUGAUUUAUAUUGAUCAGAAACUGAUACGCUAACUACAUUCACAAACGACUACUAUCUUCUGUGGGGAUAUUGUCAUAUAUAUAGUAUGUGUGUGUAUAUAUAUAUGCACAUACACACAUGCACACAUACACAGAUAAAAAGACCUGCAAUAAUGAGAAAUGUGGUUUAUGUAUGCAUGAAAAAAGACUGAUCUAGAGAUAGUUUUGUUUGGAUGUGGGACGUUCAUCUCACUGGCCUGGAAUGUGAUAUGGAUUGUUGAUCCACAAAGAUUGACAUCCAAUGAGGAUAUAGUUGAUUGGUGUGUGUGUGUGUAUGUGUAUAUAUAUAUAUAUAUAUAUAUAUAUAUAUUCUAUUCAUGCCUACCAUGUCUGUCUCAAGGAUACAAUGGUGUUUUUUGGACAAUUUCAGUGACAAGUUUUUUUUUUUCUGAAAAGUGUUUGCUAGCCUCUAUCCCAGGACCUCCCCUUUACCUGGAGCCAGCUAUCAUCUCUCUUUGUAUGACAGUAACUCGGCAGGCAUCAACAUGAGAGGAAUUGAUGAGUUUCAGUAAAUUUGUAUUUCAUUGAUUUGACCCCAGAAGAAUGACAGGCCAGCUUGACAUCAGUGGGAUAUGAAAUCAGACUUCUUAGGGCAGAACAGUUACGAGACAUUUGUCUAAUAUCAGAAUUGUUCUGCUACUGGGGACACACACACAUUUGGUUUGGUGUCAGUAGACUGAAAGCAGUUACUGUAUUUGAUGAUGACAUAUAUGACAGUGUUUUCUAAAAGAAAAAAUAAUUCAAAAAUAUCCUAGAUCCUACAUGCAAAAUGGGACUACUCAUCAGCUAAUUUUGUCCCUAAUGAUCACCACUAUAGUCUAAUCCAGAAAUUAGACUGCACUUAAUAUGCCUCUGCAUCUUCUAUGCCAUGACAUUCAAUAAACAAAACCCAAUUGAUCAAAGUACCAGUUGUUUUAAUUACAAUCAAAUUAUUCAAAAUAUUGA